CCGUACUGCUGGAGUUUACUAUGAGAGCCCAGGGUAGGAUGCAAUAUAAAGAAUAUAUCAGCUUGGUAAAAGACUUCUGUGCAAGGAAGAGGGAGCUAUACCAAGAAUUCUUUGAAUGGAAAACACUGGACUGAGAGCGAUGAGAGUCACAGUGACAAGAACUCAGUAGAAUCAUGGCAUAAGGAUCCAAACUCAAAAGUCUCUCACAGAUGGGAUAAAUGGCCUUCGUUUGGCUCUCAGAAGAGCAAGGAAUCUACAGAGGACACUUUUCUCAGGAACUGUAGCCAUCGUCAAAGUUCCUUUUCAA